rnacentral:rRNA from 1 species
CCUACGGGUGGCAGCAGUGAGGAAUAUUGGUCAAUGGCCGAGAGGCUGAACCAGCCAAGUCGCGUGAGGGAAGACGGCCCUACGGGUUGUAAACCUCUUUUGUCAGGGAACAAAGGCGGGGACGCGUCCCCGGAUGAGUGUACCUGAAGAAAAAGCAUCGGCUAACUCCGUGCCAGCAGCCGCGGUAAUACGGAGGAUGCGAGCGUUAUCCGGAUUUAUUGGGUUUAAAGGGUGCGCAGGCGGUCUGUUAAGUCAGCGGUCAAAGCCCGGGGCUCAACCCCGGCCCGCCGUUGAAACUGGCAGUCUCGAGUUGGAGAGAAGUAUGCGGAAUGCGCGGUGUAGCGGUGAAAUGCAUAGAUAUCACGCAGAACUCCGAUUGCGAAGGCAGCAUACCGGCGCUCAACUGACGCUCAUGCACGAAAGUGUGGGUAUCGAACAGGAUUAGAUACCCUUGUAGUC